rnacentral:rRNA from 2 species
ACGGGGUGCAGCAGGCGCGAAACCUUUGCAAUGUGCGCAAGCACGACAAGGUUAAUCCGAGUGUUUCCUGCUAAAGGAAUCUUUUGUUAGUCGUAAAACCACUGAUGAAUAAGGGGUGGGCAAGUUCUGGUGUCAGCCGCCGCGGUAAAACCAGCACCUCAAGUGGUCAGGAGGAUUAUUGGGCCUAAAGCAUCCGUAGCCGGCUCUGCAAGUUUUCGGUUAAAUCCAUUUGCUUAACAAAUGGGCUGCCGAAAAUACUACAUAGCUAGGGAGUGGGAGAGGUAGACGGUAUUCGGUAGGAAGGGGUAAAAUCCUUUGAUCUAUUGAGGACCACCUAUGGCGAAGGCAGUCUACCAGAACACGUUCGACGGUGAGGGAUGAAAGCUGGGGGAGCAAACCGGAUUAGAUACCCGGGUAGUCCCAGCUGUAAACGAUGCAGACUCGGUGAUGCACUGGCUUGUGGCCAGUGCAGUGCCGCAGGGAAGCCGUUAAGUUUGCCGCCUGGGAAGUACGUACGCAAGUAUGAAACUUAAAGGAAUUGGCGGGGGAGCAC